AUGUGCAGCCGGGGUGUUAGCGGUACCUUAUACCUGCAAUCCGCUAUAGCAGGGGUGAUGUUACGCAGAGGGCCUGUAUUUGCAGAGCUGCCCUUGGAAAGUGGCGUUGAGGCCUGGGUCUUACGCGACGGGAAUCUGUGAACCGUGUCAGAUCGGGAACGAAGCAGCACUAAGCAGAAUCUCCCGGGUGCCGUAAGGGUGCCUGGACUGAGUUAACUGCCAAGGUAACGUCUGUGAAUAUAGGUUCGAAGCGUAACGCACAU
rfam:Lachnospiraceae bacterium 3-2 genomic scaffold acPFJ-supercont1.1, whole genome shotgun sequence.